GUGGGGAAUCUUCCGCAAUGGACGAAAGUCUGACGGAGCAACGCCGCGUGAACGAUGACGGCCUUCGGGUUGUAAAGUUCUGUUAUACGGGACGAAUGGUACGACGGCCAAUACCCGUCGUAAGUGACGGUACCGUAAGAGAAAGCCACGGCUAACUACGUGCCAGCAGCCGCGGUAAUACGUAGGUGGCAAGCGUUGUCCGGAAUUAUUGGGCGUAAAGGGCGCGCAGGCGGCGUCGUAAGUCGGUCUUAAAAGUGCGGGGCUUAACCCCGUGAGGGGACCGAAACUGCGAUGCUAGAGUAUCGGAGAGGAAAGCGGAAUUCCUAGUGUAGCGGUGAAAUGCGUAGAUAUUAGGAGGAACACCAGUGGCGAAGGCGACUUUCUGGACUGUAACUGACGCUGAGGCUCGAAAGCCAGGGGAGCGAACGGGAUUAGAAACCCCGGUAGUCC
rnacentral:rRNA from 1 species